GAUGCCUCCGAGCCCACUCUCUGGAGUAUAUAUCUACUCACGCCCCUGGACUCAUGAAAGCGUCUCGUUUCCGUCGAAUUUGUCUGUGCAUGAACAACAUUUAACAUCAAUAUUUUCAGAAAGCAUCAAUUUGUAUUUGAGGUCUGAAAAAUAUGGAGCAUCCUUUAUUUUGACCGGCAUACCUAUAAACAGUCAUCACACAACAUGAAGACGUCACUGCGGAGCUCGAGGAGUCUAAGCAGCAUUCAGCGAGAGAGAUCAGUGUGAAUAUGGGGGAGGCUGAUCCUGAAUCAGAGUCUCUGCUCACCAAAAUCACACAGCUUCAAGACAUCAUUGGAGCUGAUGAGCAGGUUUUCAGGCUUGAUGUCUGCAAAUUAGAUCAAAGGGAAACAAAAAAAUCUUCCUGAACGUAUGUUUUGAUGUAAUGCAAAAAUAGAAAGCAAAGGUCUCAGUUUUGAUUUCAUAUAAUACCUCACAUGUUCUGUUACACCAGUUUUUAGCCAUUUGUCACAUCUUGUUUGGAAAGAAGCAAAAACUCUCUUACUCACAGACUACUCUUAAAUUUUCUAAAAAUAAGAAAAGUGACACAUUUUUAAAAUUUGAUAUCACAAUAAAGUACAACUAAGGUAUAAUGUUUUGUGCAAUGUGUAUUUAUAAUUUUAUCUUUUUAAUUUUGUUAAAUUUUCUUAAACAUUACUUGAAUAGUUGACAUCAUUUUCUCCCCGUAGUGUAGAGGUAUUGUCCGGAUUGUCAACCUAUUUGUUGUUUGAUUCUUGAUUUUAAAUUAUAUUUUGUUUUUGUUAUGAGCAACAAUAGUUUGCUAAUUUACCUUAU